AAAAGUUAUUCUUCACUGACACUUUGAAUUUUUCUUCAUUUGGUUUGCUGUACACUGCUUACGUCAACAACAUCUUAAGUUGUAGGUUUCCUUAGAGAUCAAGGAUGUCUCAAGGUCCACUUAAGUUUUGAAAGAGUAUAAUGGCAUUUUGAAUCUAGUUACUUCCCAUUUGCAACUUUAGGCUUUUGAGGAGGUAAUGUACAAUAAUUAGAUUUUACAGACAUAAUAGUUUCUAUUCAUCAGGACCAUUAGCUCAUCAGAGAAAAGUUCUGUGUAAAUAAAAGGAAGCUUUACAGAUAUCAUCCAUGACAAAGAUUGUAGUUCUCUUUAUGAGUAAGGACAAUGUGAAGCUAUUUGCUUAAAUCACCGGUGAUGGAAGACAUGCCAUUUGUGUUUGUAGCCCUAGCAUUUGGCACAAAGUAAGUGUUUGAUAAAUGUUUUGAAUGGAAAGGAAAAAAACCCUAACUUCUGACUGACUAGAGAAGGAUAUUUGUAGGUUAAAAACUAUAUACAAUAGUGUAAGAAGAUUGAAUAGUUAAAAGAAUUGUUAGAGCAGCUUAUCUGUUGCUACUGCAGACUGCUGAAGUCCUAUCAUAUUAAAAAAAUAAGGAUUUUUUUUUCUUGUUUAAAAGCAAAAAAUGGUAUUAUAUGGUUAUGAGAGAUCAAACAUGUUCCUGAAACAACCCAAAAGUAACUGCUAUGAUUCCAGUUUGUUGGAUAGGUUGACUAUUCUAAAUUUUAGUCAUUCCCUUUGCUAAGGUACAGCUAAAUGUAGAAAUGACUAAUGGGGGCUUUAAUACCCCCUGUGUUACAUUUUGGAAAAUAACAAUGUGAGAGGAAAAAAAAAAAGGAUUGUUUUCAUCACAAAGCAAGGUUGUAUAUGUAGGUAUGUUGGGGGAGACAAACUUAAUAAAAAGCAUUUAAGUAUCUUUGCCAAGAAUUUUUUUAAUCAAAGCUUUUAUGUUUAUGAGUUUCCUGAUGGAAGCAAUGAGCACAGUCUUUGCUCAAUUUGUUUCAAAGCAAUAUUGAGGAAAAUUGAACAAAAUAUGCAAUAAGAAAAAAUUCUGUGCCAGUCCCCAGGGUAUGAGCAUACUGACAGUGUAAUAGAUGUUUUCCAUUUCCCUGUGUCUAGAGUUCUAGGUGGUUGCAGACCAUAUUUUACCCUUGGUCCACUCCCACCAUUUGCACUGACAUUAAUGGGAGGCUCAUUGCAGAAAUAAGGCAGUCUGUAGUCCUGUAUUUAUAUAUAGAAUGAGAUCAUUCUAUCUGGUAUAAGAGUUCCAUUGCCCCUCAUUACACACUCAAGAUGGACAAAAAAUGCUAAUAACAAUUAUAUGAGUGAUUCAGAGAAGAAUUAAGCCUCAGGAAAGUGUAACAUUGGAAACAUUUACUUAAGGCAGGGAUGUUUUCACUAAAACAGCAAUGAACAUCCCAAAAGAGUGGCAUUGUUUUUGAUCACAUCUAUCACCUCCACCUCCCCAACCUGGUCUUCUCAUAGGCACAGAAAUUCUUCAGAGUUACUGGUGAAAAUUGUGGGGGAAAUGAUAGUAUUUCUUUUGCCAAGGUCUCCAUUGCAAAAUCAAGUCAGUAACGUCUAACAUGAGGGGCUUGAAAUAAUUCAUUUAAAUCAUAAAGUUAUUGAGGCCAAUGAGCAAUACGUAUUCACCUCAAUUCCCAAGCGUAGUAACAUUGUUGUACCUCUGUUCUGGGGUUAUUAAAAUCCCAGAGCAUCCCAAGAAGACUCCGUCAUAUUUCUCCUAGCUUGAGGAAGGUAUCUGUUUCUGAUCUGUAAGAUCUGCUUCCAAUAUUCUUGUGCUCAUUAUCUCCUCCCAUUAUCUAAAGUUUACAUAACCAUUAACCCACCAUUCUAGCUAGUAUUAGAAACUCCUUUGUAUUCACACAAGAUCGUAAUUCCUUAAUUCCUUAAAUAGUAAUCCCAAUGGGAGUUUUGCUGAAUGGCAUACACUUUUUUUUUUUUUUAAUGUAGUAGAAUUCACAUUUAAGUGUAGUGAGACUUAAAAUUUGAGUGGCCAGUAUUCAGUAGAGGUUAAGUUUAGUUGGGCAAACAGGAGUUGACCUUAGGAUGAGUUGACCUUAGGAUGUUAACAUUGCCUUUUAUUACUGAGAAAAUGGAAACAAUCGAAGGAGCACUCCCACAAACUCACCACUGAUAUGGCAGCUAACCCUCUACAUGCAUCUGAAUCCAUAUGCAUGCCCCUUGGCUUCCUCCUCUCACAAGCACUACCUUUUCUCCUCUGUGUUGGAUCCUGUUAUGAACUGACUUGUGUCCCUCCAAAAUUCACAUGUUGAAAUGCUAUCCCUAGUGCUCAGAAGGUGCCCUUAUUUGGAAACAGGGUUGUUGCAGAUCAGUUAUGAUGAGGUCAUGCUGGGUAGGGUGGGCCCCUAAUCUAAUGUGACUAGUAUCCUUAUGAAAAGGGAAGAUCUGGACACAAAAAAUACUGCGAAGAUUGGAUUUAUGCAGCCAUAAGCCAAGGAACUAACAGAAGCUGGAAGAGAGGCUGGGAACAGAUCCUUCCCUAGCAUGCUGUGGGAGCAUGGCCUUGCCAACACCUGAGCCUUGGAUCUCCAGCCUCCAGAACUGUGAAACGAUAAAUUUCUCUUGUUUAAGCCACUCAGUUUGUGGUACUUUGGGGCAGCCACCCAGAGGCUGAUACAGAUCUUGCCCCUUUCCCCACCAAGCUGUUGUCAUGGCCAGCAUUAGUAAGUCCUCCCCUCCACUUGGACCAUCUUCAUUGGUAGACAAACACACACACACACACACACACACACACACACACACACACACACACUCUGUACUCAAGCUAGGGCACAUGACCUCCAGCUGUUUCUUAACUCCCUCUUACUGAAAAUCAUUGAAAAAAAAAAUGUUUUCACUCCCUUGGUCUACCUCUUCUCCAUUUUCUUCGAAACUAGCUCCAUUUAGGCUUUUAUCAGAACUGCUCUUGACUGCUGCAUUGUCAGAUCCAGUGUAAGCAUCUCAGUGCAUACUCUGCUUAACCAACAGCAGCAUUCGCUAAGACUCUAGGACACCAUUCUCGCCUUGUUUUUCUCCUAACUCACUGGCCACUCUCUCUAAGUCCCCUUACUACUUCAUCCCACUUUUCUGCCCAUAAUCAUUUGUGUUUCAAUGAUAUCUCAAUAAAGCUGUUUUAAAAAUACAGCAACAGCAGAGUGCUUCCCAUCUCGGUCCCCAGACUUAUUAAGAUUCUCUGAAUCUACAUUCAUUUUUAGAUGAUCUUAUCCAGUCUCCCUGCCUUUAAAUAAAAUAUCAGGAUGCUGAGGCUGCCAAGUUUGUCUUCAGCUUGGACCUCACCCCUGAACUCAGUAAUUGUGGAUCCAACUACUACUGGGCAUUUCUAAUAAGAAUCUCAAGGUAAAUCUGUCUUCCCCCAACAUCUUCUUUCCCAGUCUUGUAAUUGGUAAUUCCAUUCUUUCUGGUGUGUAAACGAAACAUUUUGGAAACCCUUUAACUCCUGUUUUUCUUCUGUCUACAUCUAUUAUUCUGGAAGAUCCUGUUGGCUCUACCUUUGGAACAUCCAGAAUCCAACCACUUUUCCCCACCUCCACGGCCUGUGCAAGCCACCAUCAUCUCAUCUUGUUUAUCAUAAAGCCUCCUAAUUGAAGAUGAACUGUGUUAAUAAUUGCCCUGUAGUCUACUCUCCAUUUAGCUGCCUGGGUGAUCCUUUUAAAAUAGUAUAGACCAUGUCACUAUCUUCAGAGGUUUCCAUCUCAACACUAUCCAAAGUCAUUUUCAUGACUGAGGGGCUCCAUAAGAUUUGUUCCUCACUCACUCUGGCCUUGGUUUUGUAUGAUUUGGUUUGGUUUCCAAGCAUGCCACAUGUGAUCCUGCUUCUGGGUCUUUGCAUCUGCAGCUUUCUCUGCCUUUGAUGUCUUCCUGCUACAUUGUUGCUGCUCUCUUCUUUACUCUCUUUAAGUGCUCAGAUGUCAUCUAACUGGAGAGCCCUCUAUCCCUCUUACCUAAUUUUAUUUUUAAAGAAAACAAAAAGCUUCAAAAAGUAAGGGACUUCCAUUUGGUGUCAUAGGCCAUUAAAACAGGUCCUGCCACACAAAUAUAUAUUGAAUGCAUUACUGAAUGAUCCAAGGUUAGCCUGGUAAGGUUACACUUCCCAGUAGAGCCUGGUGUUUCUGUAGCUAUGAUAUAUCCUCCAAGGAUCCCGCCACAUAUCCCUGUGUGGAUUCUUAUGAUAAUGCCCUCUGAGGAAUGUUUCUUUAUUUUCGUGGUGUCUAGGUGAGUGCCCCUCACAUGGUAAAUGAUUUUGAAUGACUUAAGUGUGUAGUUGGUUUUUAGGCCUUAGAUUUUUAAUCUUGAGCUCUAAUCAUGAGCGAAAUUGAUCCUGCAAUAACCUUGUUCCAUUGAAGAUUUGUUUUGAAGAGGUUUACAUUGCCCAUCUUCCUCAACAUGAUAGCUAAAUCAUGUUUUAGAAGAUCCAGGGGACACGGUGAAACCUCAGUUAAUAAGCUAAAAGAAUAAAAGGAAUAGUCCACUUUUAAGGAGUAGCACGGACAUUGUUCCUCUUUGUAUAUAGGUUUGCAGAAGAUAAUUAUGAACUUGUUUUUUUUCAUGUGUAUUAAUGGGACAUCAUCUUUAUGUCUGGCAGGAGCCUCUCAUUACAGGAUAACUAGAUUUUCACUGGGUCUUGGUCCACAACACUUUGCACAUUACAUUAGCAUUUCUUGAGCUUUUCCAGUGAAAUGCUUCUGGUAUCAGAGGAUAGCAACUUACACUCCCAAAAGUCUGGCUGCAUAAACCAAAGGAGUCAAAUUCAAAAGUGGUUCAUGUUUUAUUAUAAAAACAAUGUGGAAUUUUCCAUUCUAUUCUAUAAUAAGCCCAUGGAGUUUUUAUGUUUUGACAUAGAAUAUUAUGAGAUAUUUUAAGUUCAAUUAUUUACAUUUUUUCCUGAAUCCUCAAAAGUAAAUUAAAGAUGAACCAUGUUUAUCCUAUGGCUUUGAGUAGCCCCUGGUACCUGGCAUCAUUUUAUACCUCUGAUCUGGGACUGACUAUGUGAUCUCUAGAGAACAGCAGAAUUGACCAUCCUUGUUAGACAUGGCCCUGACAGCUAUUGAAUCAAUCCAGCUGCCUAGGAAGGCUGUUCUCUGAUUGUAGGGCUGUUUUUGGCAGCUGAUAACUUCCUGUCUGAUCCAAUCUUCAUCUCUAAUGGAUGGUGCAUCACGGUGUAAUGGGUCCUGUUUUAUCCAUCCUGUUCUGUUAGGCCAAGAUCAAUAAUGCAGCUAACAUUCCAAAGGCUCAUAUUAUACCCAAAUUUCACUCUUGUGUCACCUCCUUAGCAUAAAACUUAGUUUAAUAAUAUUGAUUUCCUUACUAAGAUUUUAACUACCUGAAUUUCUAGAGCACUAUAACAUACUUACAGCUUUCAUACAUUGAAGGGUUUACCCAGGUCUGUACUCCAGGGAAUGAGGCCUUAGAGGACACCUGAAUGAGCUUACAAGUAAAGGGUCAAAGCAUGGAGGAAUAAGCAGGAUGGGCUAAGGAAUGGAGAUCCCCAUGUAAGGAGCCAUAGGAGGUCAAAGAAGAAAGGUAAGAGGGGUCAGAUUAUGGAGGAGUGCUACAUCUCACCUUCUCACAUGGCCUUUAAUGCCAGCGUGAUGAGCUUGGAAUUUCUUAAGUAAAAGCAAGGAGCCUUUGGAAGCUUUUGAUCCAGAAAGUAACAUGAUUAAUGCAGUGCUUUAUGAAAUGUAACAUGGUAAUCCUAUCAGGGAUGCUGUGGAGUGGAACAGGUGAAGCAGGUCUGGGCAUGGGGCAAGGAGGCAUUGCAGGGUAGCAGAAAGUGUGGAUUUUGGAGCUACUUUCUG